AUCCAUGUUUGGACUGCGGGGUUUCAGACAACCUUAGUGAAUUCCUCUGCUUUCAAGCCCUCCUCCUAUACUGCUUACCUGGAAGAAAUGGCCUUCUACCGUUCCCAGCAUGGGCCAAAUCCACAGGUAGAGCCAGCACCUGCCUGCCAUUGCCGCCCAAACUAACCAUGUCUGCAGGCCAAAUUCCAGCUGCCGAGAACAAGCUCCCAUUGGUCUUCUAGAAAGCAUUCACUGAGUCUACAGCUUCUCCUCUGAUUCUUAUCAUACGUGAACUUUGGAACUGAAAAUUGGGGUUUUAUUUCUUGUUUUCUCUUUUCCUUCCUUGCCAAGAGAAUGUUCGACUUGGCCAUCCAGAGUCUUCA